GCCUACGGGUGGCUGCAGUGGGGAAUAUUGCACAAUGGGCGCAAGCCUGAUGCAGCCAUGCCGCGUGUAUGAAGAAGGCCUUCGGGUUGUAAAGUACUUUCAGCGGGGAGGAAGGUGUUGUGGUUAAUAACCACAGCAAUUGACGUUACCCGCAGAAGAAGCACCGGCUAACUCCGUGCCAGCAGCCGCGGUAAUACGGAGGGUGCAAGCGUUAAUCGGAAUUACUGGGCGUAAAGCGCACGCAGGCGGUCUGUCAAGUCGGAUGUGAAAUCCCCGGGCUCAACCUGGGAACUGCAUUCGAAACUGGCAGGCUAGAGUCUUGUAGAGGGGGGUAGAAUUCCAGGUGUAGCGGUGAAAUGCGUAGAGAUCUGGAGGAAUACCGGUGGCGAAGGCGGCCCCCUGGACAAAGACUGACGCUCAGGUGCGAAAGCGUGGGGAGCAAACAGGAUUAGAUACCCCAGUAGUC
rnacentral:rRNA from 1 species